UUGAAGGUGUACCGGGAGGUAUGCUGGACGUAUCAGAAGUGCGAAUGCUGACAUGAGUAACGAUAAUGCGGGUGAAAAACCCGCACGCCGGAAGACCAAGGGUUCCUAUCCCAUGUUAAUCAGGGUAGGGUAAGUCGACCCCUAAGGCGAGGCUGAAGAGCGUAGUCGAUGGGAAACGGGUUAAUAUUCCCGUACUUGGAAUAAUUGCGAUGGGGGGACGGAGCAGGCUAAGCAAGCAUGGCGUUGGUUGUCCAUGUGAAAGUGAGUAGGCUAAUGACUUAGGUAAAUCCGGGUCGUUGUUAGGCUGAGACACGAGACGAGCUACUACGGUAGUGAAGUUGCUGAUGCCUUACUUCCAGGAAAAGCCUCUAAGCUUCAGAUUAUUUCGAAUCGUACCCCAAACCGACACAGGUGGUCAGGUAGAGAAUACUAAGGCGCUUGAGAGAACUCGGGUGAAGGAACUAGGCAAAAUUGUACCGUAACUUCGGGAGAAGGUACGCUCUUGAUUGUGAUGGGAUUUACUCCUUAAGCGAUUGAGAGCCGCAGUGACCAGGUGGCUGGGACUGUUUAUUAAAAACACAGCACUGUGCAAAAUCGUAAGAUGACGUAUACGGUGUGACACCUGCCCGGUGCCGGAAGGUUAAUUGAUGGGGUUAGACUUAGGUCGAAGCUCUUGAUCGAAGCCCCGGUAAACGGCGGCCGUAACUAUAACGGUCCUAAGGUAGCGAAAUUCCUUGUCGGGUAAGUUCCGACCUGCACGAAUGGUGUAACCAUGGCCACGCUGUCUCCACCCGAGACUCAGUGAAAUUGAAAUCGCAGUGAAGAUGCUGUGUACCCGCGGCUAGACGGAAAGACCCCGUGAACCUUUACUACAGCUUGGCACUGAACAUUGAACCUACAUGUGUAGGAUAGGUGGGAGACUUUGAAGCACA
rnacentral:ncRNA from 1 species